rnacentral:rRNA from 1 species
UACGUAGGGGGCUAGCGUUGUCCGGAAUUAUUGGGCGUAAAGAGCUCGUAGGCGGUUUGUUGCGUCGGCUGUGAAAUCCCGAGGCUCAACCUCGGGUCUGCAGUCGAUACGAGCAAACUAGAGUGUUGCAGGGGAGACUGGAAUUCCUGGUGUAGCGGUGAAAUGCGCAGAUAUCAGGAGGAACACCGGUGGCGAAGGCGGGUCUCUGGGCAACAACGUGACGC